GUGCCAGCAGCCGCGGUAAUACAGAGGGUGCAAGCGUUAAUCGGAAUUACUGGGCGUAAAGCGAGCGUAGGUGGCUUGAUAAGUCAGAUGUGAAAUCCCCGGGCUUAACCUGGGAACUGCACCUGAAACUGUUAGGCUAGAGUAGGUGAGAGGGAAGUAGAAUUUCAGGUGUAGCGGUGAAAUGCGUAGAGAUCUGAAGGAAUACCGAUGGCGAAGGCAGCUUCCUGGCAUCAUACUGACACUGAGGCUCGAAAGCGUGGGUAGCAAACAGGAUUAGAUACCCUGGUAGUCCACGCCGUAAACGAUGUCUACUAGUCGUUGGGUCCCUUGAGGACUUAGUGACGCAGCUAACGCAAUAAGUAGACCGCCUGGGGAGUACGGCCGCA
rnacentral:rRNA from 1 species